rnacentral:rRNA from 1 species
GAUGAACGCUGGCGGCGUGCCUAAUACAUGCAAGUCGAGCGAACAGACGAGGAGCUUGCUCCUCUGACGUUAGCGGCGGACGGGUGAGUAACACGUGGAUAACCUACCUAUAAGACUGGGAUAACUUCGGGAAACCGGAGCUAAUACCGGAUAAUAUAUUGAACCGCAUGGUUCAAUAGUGAAAGACGGUUUUGCUGUCACUUAUAGAUGGAUCCGCGCCGCAUUAGCUAGUUGGUAAGGUAACGGCUUACCAAGGCAACGAUGCGUAGCCGACCUGAGAGGGGGGUCGGCCACACUGGAACUGAGACACGGUCCAGACUCCUACGGGAGGCAGCAGUAGGGAAUCUUCCGCAAUGGGCGAAAGCCUGACGGAGCAACGCCGCGUGAGUGAUGAAGGUCUUCGGAUCGUAAAACUCUGUUAUUAGGGAAGAACAAAUGUGUAAGUAACUAUGCACGUCUUGACGGUACCUAAUCAGAAAGCCACGGCUAACUACGUG